rnacentral:lncRNA from 1 species
GCAUUUCUAGCAAGUUCCCAGGUGAUGCUGGUAGAGCACACGCCCAGAACCACCGCCAGGUACACAAGUCACUGGACAAGGUGGGAAGGCAUCUUACUCAAUCAAUGGACCUUAUUCUAAAGCGGGAAGGGCACUGAGAGUAUAGGGAGGGUAUCUCUCAAAUGAGGAGUCUACGACCUGCUUCAGGGGAAGGCCAACAACUUCUUGGAUUUUAUGACCUGCUUCAGGGGAGAAGGACAAGGGAAGUACAGCGCCUACAACAAUGCAAAGGCUAGAAGGAAUGAAGGCAGGGACAUGGAAUGGAGAAUUUCCAUUUCACGGAUCCACAUAAACUGAAAAGGAACAAGAGUCGGUGAGACCAAAGAGCACUGAAGGCCAUGAACCACCACCAUUCUCAACCCCUGGGCCAGGCAAGAAAAGCCACGGUUCCUGGAAGGGAUGACGACAGGCUUACUGAAUUAUUUUCAUCCAUGCCCUUUUAAAAUAUGGUUGGUAGAAAUUUGCCAUUUGAGACUAGAAUCCCAUUCGGAAUCAUGUAAGUCUCUUUUGACUCCACGAGGACAUCUUUCACCCAGUUUUGGGAAAUCUGAGGAAUGGAUUCUUCUACAGACUGAUAAAAUAUCACAAGGUCCAAGAGUUUGUGUGAGAAAGAGGACAUCAAGGUAAAAUUUUUUAAGUGGAUAAAGAUGGAGAAGUAGAAGGAUGUUAUUCAAAAGUGUAGUUUAUGAUUAAGGUUGGUCGUGACAUCAGAAGCCUUUAAUAUCAGGCCCACCCAUCCGGAUUCAUUAAGCAGAUUGUGUCUUAUCUUGCAUUUCUGUUUCCUGAGACUUAAUCAUGGUUUCCUCAGUGAGUAUCAUCCGCUGCCUAAACUUCAUAAGAGGAUGUUUUCUUUUUUGGAAGCUACUACUCAUGGGCUGAAACUGACUUUCAAACCUACAACUUUAAACUAUGUAAUACUUGAUAUGAGCAACUCAUCCCACUCCUUUCAGAUUAUUCCCUAGGAUCAUUUAUUAUGUGCCUACUGCAUGCAAGGCACAGUGGGAAUACAGAUACAAAGAUAAAUAAGAUUGUCUCUGCCCUGAAGAAAACUAUAAUUUCUGUGUGUAGAAAGACACACAACUGACUUUUCUAUCACAGACCAUCCAAGUUCUGACAUAGAGUCACUAGAGGUUUCUGAACAUGAUGGAUGUGAACGUGGUAGACAUACAAUGGAAGGCAAGAAGGUAUCUCAACACAGCAGAACAAGACCCCAUGAGGAGCCCAGAAAAAAAAUAAAGAAGGUUCCUCACUGGUUAGGAAUUCAAAAGCAGUCCUGGCAACCUCAUAGCAUCUUUACCUCAGAAGCAGGCAGCUCUGGUUACUCCACCAUUUUCAGGAACAAGGUUUUUCUCUCCCCCUCUGCUGCAUUUCCUCUGCGGCUCCUGAUCCAUCUGCCUCUACCUUCUUCCUAGCAUCAAAUUUCCUCCCAGGAGACAACAUGAAUGGGUUAAGAAGUACCCAAUGAGGGCUGCUCCAACUGGACAGCAUCUUUGAAACUGGGACCUCACAGAUGGUCAUCACAGGCCCCUGAUGCCUGGGUACCCAGCGACCAACCCCAGUCUAGUCUGUCUAUAGCAACAUAGGUGAAGGGGAGUCUCAGGGGCUGCCUAAAGGGCUCAGAAUGUGGUGAGUACUUAAGACUGCAUGGAUUUUCACUGUUUACAUGAAUAUAGGACAAGUAUUCACAGAACUAUUAGCUAGAUCUGUGAACAAAACAUUAAUAACAUUGUAUGUCCAUGUCUGAACCCCUGAAAUUCCAACAACCACCACCCGCCUACCAACUUGCAGCAAACCGGCUCUCUCCACAGUCUUCCCCAGAUCAGGGAGAAACAAUUCCAUCCUUCCAGUACUCAGACUGUAAAACUGGAUUCAUUCUGAUUCCUCUCUCACACAUCCCACACCUGAUCUGACAGGAAAUCCUAUAAACUCUGCCAUUAAAAUAUAUCCAGAAACAGGCCAGGCACAAUGGCUCAUGCCUCUAAUCCCAGCACUUUGGGAGGUCGAGGCGGGCGGAUCAUGAGGUCAGGAGUUCGAGACCAGCUUGGCCUACAUGGCAAAACCCUGUCUCUACUAAAAAUACAAAAAUUAGCUAGGUGUGGUGAUGCACACCUGUAAUCCCAGCUACUUGGGAGGCUGAGCUAGGAGAAUCACUUGAACCCGGGAGGCACAGGCUGCAGUAAGCCAAGAUCGUGCCACUGCACUCCAGCCUGGGCGACAGAGUAAGACUC